rnacentral:rRNA from 1 species
GAUGAACGCUGGCGGCGUGCCUAAUACAUGCAAGUCGAGCGAACAGACGAGGAGCUUGCUCCUCUGACGUUAGCGGCGGACGGGUGAGUAACACGUGGAUAACCUACCUAUAAGACUGAGAUAACUUCGGGAAACCGGAGCUAAUACCGGAUAAUAUAUUGAACCGCAUGGUUCAAUAGUGAAAGACGGUUUUGCUGUCACUUAUAGAUGGAUCCGCGCCGCAUUAGCUAGUUGGUAAGGUAACGGCUUACCAAGGCGACGAUGCGUAGCCGACCUGAGAGGGUGAUCGGCCACAUUGGAACUGAGACACGGUCCAGACUCCUACGGGAGGCAGCAGUAGGGAAUCUUCCGCAAUGGGCGAAAGCCUGACGGAGCAACGCCGCGUGAGUGAUGAAGGUCUUCGGAUCGUAAAACUCUGUUAUUAGGGAAGAACAAAUGUGUAAGUAACUAUGCACGUCUUGACGGUACCUAAUCAGAAAGCCACGGCUAACUACGUG